ACCAGAGAAGGGAGGAAGGGGGAAAACCCUAGCUUGAUCAAUUAACCACAAAAUCAGUACGAUUAUGGAGGAUUCAUGUUACAAAUCGAAUGCUAGUGUCUAAAUACUCAUUAAUCCCAGUGUUUUGAGCAUAAGGAUCGAAAGAAGAAGGAGCUAGUUCCGGAUCACAAACAAAGGCACAAGAUCGAGGUAAAGCACCCGUAUGAUUGUCAUUGCGUCGCUCGGAUACGAACACACCUUGAUCACACGUGAUGCGCUUCCGCAACUUUUGUAGUAACCUUAUUAGUUAAAGGCUUUUGUUAAAGAUUAGUAGUGUUGAAGUUUUACGUCUUAACUAGAUGUUUGUGAAUACUUAAGUAACUUAAACUUGAUGUUUGAAACGGUAGUUUAAAUGUUAUGGUCUUUCGUAUGUUUUUCUGAAGGUGUCAUUAUUUGAGUAUUUUGAUAUAUUAUAAACAGGGAGAUUGUUC